CCCCCAGGGACCUAGUGCAGACGUGGAACCUGUUUCACACAACUGCGACCUGAAGGGAAAAAAGAAGCAAAUGAUACCAAGAAAAGCUCAUAACAGAGAUCUUUUCAACAGAAGUGUUCGGAUGAAAAUACAGUGAGAUGAGUCAGAAAGUAGCUAAGGAGGGCCCCAGACUCUCCAAGAACCAGAAGUUCUCCGAGCACUUCAGCAUACAUUGCUGCCCGCCAUUCACCUUCCUCAACUCCAAACGCGAGAUUGUGGAUCGCAAAUACAGCAUUUGUAAAAGUGGCUGCUUCUACCAGAAGAAAGAGGAGGACUGGAUCUGCUGUGCCUGCCAGAAGACCAGAAUGUACCCCUCUCUCCAUCUCUCCCAACCUUCCUUUAGUAACAAGUAGGAAAGCACAAUAGAAGAUAAAAGAACGUAGUAGAAUGUAGAGGGAUGUAACAUGGGCAAUGUUAGGUGGACAGAAGUUCAGAGCAAAGGAGAAGGCAUGGGGGCAGUGUUGUCUACGGGCUGGGGUCGAAAUGCACAGGCAGACACCUGAUGCACCAACAAGGUCAUGGAUUUCUGUCCUUGAGUGAGGGCAGCCAGACCCAGCCAAGCUCAAAGGGCAAGUGAGGAUACAAGAGCAACACCAGAGGAAGUCCUGCUCAAGGUGUAGGGCUGGGGUGAGAGGGAGUGCCAGGAGAAGUGGGGAAGCAUGCUCGAUUCAGCUGAGCUUUAGCUCAGAAAACCAUGCUCCUGGAAAGAGGAAGCUGGCCAAGUACUGUUCCAAGGCAGCGGGAGGGCGAAGCCAGAGCAUCCUGCUUCUUUACGUGGGGAGGCCAGUUCUCUGUGGAAGUGGCAAUACAAAGGCAGGGGAAUUGAACUACUCAGAACCUUCAGGGAGAAAUAUUUCCUGCCCAAAUUCAGGUGCUAAACAAACAACAAAAUGAGAACCUCUACUAUGAAGAGUUUCCAACCAUGAGAUAUCCGAGGACAUUACAUUCCUGGGAAUAAAGCCAGGGGUGCCAUGACAGACAACUAGAAAGAACAACUUAGUGGGCCAGCCCCACUCCAGUAAGACCCAAGGAGGAAACUUCAUAUUCCUUUAGACUGUUUUAGCUUUUGGCAAAGCCAGACCCCAUGCUCCAAGCUUGCUGGGUUCUAUCCUCCAUAUCAUCCAGAAGAUACACUGUUACUGCAGAAGGUGACACUGAGGAGAGAGCGCGGUGUAUAUUUAUUCAUGUAAAAAAAACCCUGGGUAUAAGCACAGCAAUGUUAAUAACUAGAAAUUACUGAAUUUUCUAUGUUGUCUGUUGUGGAAAUAAAGCCCUCUGGGGAUGGAUCAAAAAUAUCUGGAAAUUACUUGAAACUGGUGAAUAACUAAAUGGAAUGAUAACUAAAAUGUACUGUAAUCCAAUUGUAUUUUUUGUCCUUUAAGGGUUGUUUCCAGGGAGCACUAUGCAGUGAAUGUUACAAAAAUGACAUAAAACUCCAAAAGCUACUCUAUGUAAAUUUCUUGAGUGGGAAUUCUCAUGAUGUUUGGCAUAUUACUCUGAUAAUUGUAUAUGUCAAUUGGUUUUAUGUUCUGACAUUUUGACCGCUUUGGGGAAAAAUGAGGUGUAUACCCAGAGUUUUCCUGGCAAAUGCUUAAAAACUGGCCCUCUGGGUGGAAAAUCCUGAUUGAUGGUGUUUGCCAAUUUCCAUGGUGUAAAUACUACUUCCACUCUGGCUGACUGCAAGCUAUGAAUGUGCUAUCAUUGAGUGCAGAACUGGGAAAGGAUGUGCAAUGUGGACACUUGUGAGUCCAUACAAGCCACUGUAUAUACCCAGGAGCCUGUGUGAAACUACAGUUUUUUACUAAAAAUAUUGCCCCAUAAAUAUACAAAGGUACCAGUGGAAGAAAAAAUAUAAAGGGAAAAUAAAUUCAAAUUGGAAGUUCAAAUGGAGAAAAUAACAGGAUUUUUUCAACUUUGUCUAUAUGCUACAUUUUAUUAUUAUAUGUUUAAAAGAAAACAAAGUAUCUAUGUGUCAUCUCCAGUGUUCUGAACUCUUAGUUUCUUUGGUGUUCCCUGAGAUGGAGGCUAGGGUUUCUUUCCUUUCAGAUAUUGGUGCUAAGAUGAUGCUGUCCAAAGAAUUGAUGGGACCUGCUCACUGUGAAGCCAGUUUCAGGAUGGCUGAGCUGAGAGUGGUGACAGAAGAAAAGAUGAGGAGCCUUCUGAAUUUGGGGAGGCAACACUUAUAUUUAUAUGUGUGGUUUGGUAUGAUAAUAUAUUGCUUUAAAAGUUAAUGCUAAUGGAAACAAGAAAAAAGCAGUUGUUCAAAAAUUGAAAAAAAUGGAUUAAUAAACUCUUCUAUUAGAGCAAGGCAAGAGGAACUUAUUAAAACUGAGGUGAAUUAGAAAUAUCAAUAAGAAUCCACGGGCAUGUUUUUAAAGGAGGUUUAUUUGUUCCAUCCCUACAGUGAUUUAUGCCGUUGGAUAUUUUUGCUGCCAUCUGCCUAGUUCCAGUUGGAAUGUGGGACAAGCUUAUUUGUAGAAUUAGUGCUUAUGGUUUCUAAAACUAUUCUCCACUGCAAGGAACAAAUGUCCUUGGAAGAUAGUUGAUUCCAUAUUUCUGGGCAGGGGAGAAAAAAAACCAGGAUUCAUUUGUAAAUUCUAGACAUUGAAAGAAAGCAAGGUGGCAUAGGGUAUCAGAGAGUCAUAAAUCCAUAAUGAU
rnacentral:lncRNA from 1 species